rnacentral:rRNA from 1 species
GUAAGGUGACUGCGGACGUCAUUGUCG